rnacentral:rRNA from 1 species
AUGAAGCGAUGGUACCACAUUUGGUCCAACUCCGUCUGCUGUGUGCCGGUUGUCUCCGUUUACACCGUCUUCGUGUCGCUCGGAUCUGGUGAUUGGUUCCCGGAGAGCAAGAAGAUGUUGGGCGCGCGACACAAGGACAUGGUGUUUCUCCAGGCCCUCUCCCAGGGCAGUUGCGAUAAGGAGGAUGUGGUGGCCGUAGGUGGCUCACCAGCCGGGAUGAGGGACAACGGUGGCCGCUACCAUAAAUCAGCCGAGGGAUUUGUCAGCUUAAAUGUGGAUGCCUCCUUUGAUGCGGAUAGUGGCACUGGUGGUACGGGCGCUAUUAUACGUAACUCCAUGGGAGGUUUUAUUGCAGCAUCGUCGUCACACAUUCCAUUCGCCGAGGAUGCAGCAACGGCGGAGGCGAGAGGCCUCAAGGACGGGCUAAUCCUCGCAAACAAUAUUGGAUGCAAAAAGGUGGAGAUACGUGCUGAUUGUAUGGAGGUGAUCGAAGUCAUGCAACAUGGAGGGAAUUCCCUGGGUCCAGCGGCAGCCAUCUACGAGGAAUGUACUUUCUUAUGCCCUAACUUUAUUUCUGUUUCGUUCUGUCAUAGUCCUAGGGAGGUCAAUAUGGCGGCGGAUUUACUAGCUACAAUGUCGGAGCACUCGAGAACUAUUGUUUGGCAGAACGAGGCUCCGGACUUUUUGCUUGAUGUACUUUCCAAUGAUGUAGCCCUUUUCACACAUGAAAUAUAA